UACAGAGGUCUCAAGCGUUGUUCGGAUUCAUUGGGCGUAAAGAGCGUGUAGGCGGCCAGGUAGGUCUGCUGUGAAAACUCGAGGCUUAACCUCGAGCUGUCGGCGGAAACCAUCUGGCUAGAGUCCGGAAAGAGGAGAAUGGAAUUCCUGGGUGUAGCGGUGAAAUGGCGCAGAUAGCAGGAAGAACACCCGUGGCGAAGGCGGCUCGCUGGGACGGUACUGGACGCUGGAGACGCGAAAGCGUGGGGAGCAAACAGG
rnacentral:rRNA from 1 species